CAGUCGCCGCGGUAAUACGUAGGGUGCGAGCGUUAAUCGGAAUUACUGGGCGUAAAGCGUGCGCAGGCGGUUGUGUAAGACAGGUGUGAAAUCCCCGGGCUCAACCUGGGAAUGGCAAUGGAUACUGGCAAGCUAGAGUGUGUCAGAGGAUGGUGGAAUUCCCGGUGUAGCGGUGAAAUGCGUAGAGAUCGGGAGGAACAUCAGUGGCGAAGGCGGCCAUCUGGGACAACACUGACGCUGAGGCACGAAAGCGUGGGGAGCAAACAGGAUUAGAUACCCCCGUAGUCCCUGUCUCUUAUAC
rnacentral:rRNA from 1 species